CAGUUCUCGGGGGAGCAAGAGCUUGGAACAUCAUUGGCAGACAUGGCUGAGUCUACCAGCGGCUUUUAAAAAAACACAAGGAUUUUAGUCUGUUGUUUGGUUGGCUGGUUGAUCUGGCUUGGUUUUUUAAUUGGCAGGAUGUAAACAGGAGUUCUCACUCAUCUGUUCCCCAAUAACCUGUAUUUCUCUGUUAGUGGGCAUCUCGGCUCUGAAGAAGCCACAGGAAGGCUGGCUUUCAAGAGUGCCUGUGCCUUGGAGGUGCCAAGGGCUCAGAGCUGGAGAGUUAACAGCACAGCCCAUGGCCCAUGUGUGCUGCCCUGAGGAGGGAAGCUUGGCCUGGGACCACUGAGCCACUACAGCCCCAGGAGCAAAAGCGGGAUGCAGUUUCCAAAGCAAGGAGCAGGGGCUGGGUGAUGUCUUGGACCUGGCCUUGGGUCUCCUACCUGACUCCACAUCUGGCAUGUCCUGGGUCCUCAGACACUCCCUCGUGCAAGAAGCUGCACCCCAGGAAAAGUCUGGAAGUUCUCUUGGGGUUUCACGAUGCCAGUGGCCAGUCCCGAGGCUACAGGGGACACCCACUACCCACCCAGCUUCCUAGAGGCUGCCAAUGGCACCAUCUGGGCACUCACGCCCCAGCUGAUACUUGCCGACUGGGAUUCCCCCAGGGAGAGAAGGUCCAUUUGGGGACACUGCAACCCUUUAGUACAGCUUCCCAUGCUGUGGUGACCCUCCCAACUGCUAAAUUAUUUCUGUUGCUACUUCAUAAACUCUAAUUUUGCUACUGUUA